AGCUCAUCUACACAGAUCAGCUGAAGGGUGGGGGCUUGCCAACGGUUUGAAGUAGUCCUUAGCAGCAGUUUGAUCCUAUCAACCUGUUACAACCGUGGUAGCCAUGUUGGAAAGCUAAAGAAACAGCUCAACACAGCCAUACAGUUACCCUAGGACUCCAGCAGCAACAAAAGUGUCCACUCCACUUGUCAUCCACAACUCUCCUCAUCUUUCCAGGUCCAUCAUCAGGAACUUCACAGCUCAUCCUGGAAGAUUCAGGUCUGUUAUUUCUACCUGGAAGUUUCCCCACAAUGGAUGAGUGAAGGGUGUGGUCUGAGGGGAAGUGUGGGUUGGGCCACCUGGCUUGGAGAGAGUCUGGAGUGCUAGACAGGGAGGCCUGCAAUAAGCCCCCAGGGCAGAGGUUAUCCAUAGUGGAUAUACUUAGUAAUGUAUCUGGAAAUAGGCCCCACUGAGGGUUUGUUGUGCAUUACUCCCAAUCAGCUAUAAUUGCGCAACCUGAAUUCACCAGCAUGUGACUGAUUCCCACCUAAAAAUAGGGAAAGUCUGGAAGUGCCUAUAGUGUGCCUAGUAAUGGUGGAACUUGGUUGUGUGAGUGUUUAAGGAUAAUCAGCUUCUUUAUGGCUCUGAUUUGCUCCUGUGCCUAAUCUGCAGGUAGUAGGAGGGAAUUAUGUGUUUCUUCUGUGCCAGGAAAAGUUUCCCCUGCUGGUUUCUUCUUACCAAGCUGCCGUGAAAAGAUUAAGAGCAGGCCACAUUUUUCUGGUCCAUUGGCAACCCAGAACACAAGCCCCCUCUGGGAUAUUUGUAUAAUGAUUCUGUUGUUAGCAACUGCACUUUCCCUCGCUUCCUAGCCUCUGCCAACCUCCCAUUGUGUUAUGAGCUAUGAUUUUCCUUCAGUAGGAGAGUAGGGGAGGGGAGAAAGGCCAAUCAUGUUUAAGCUGCUUUGGUAGCCCAAAGGAUUGUCUUGCAAUAUAGGAAGUCCCCUGAGUGGGCCUUUGGUUCAACAAUAUGCUGAGCCUUUGAGAUAAGGAAAAUAUCACUUCUAAUUGGCAGGGUAUGUCUUGACACCUGCAAAUUUAUAUGCUAUGUUUUGUUGUUGUUGUUUUAAUCCCUGUCGCUUGGAUUCCUCUGUGGAAGCCUUAUGAUUUCCCUUUUACCCCUCUACUAUACUGAAUUCUCUCCCCCCCCCUGUAUUUUACCAUUUCCUAUAAUUAGAUCAUCCCUAUUUGGGUUUUCUUAAAAAAUAUUUCUGAUAAAAAACAGUAUAAAUCUUACUAAAGGCCACAUUCACACCUUUAAAGCACUUUGAUACCACUUUAAAUAGUCAUGGCUUCUCCCAAAGAGUUCCUGGAGAUGUUUUGUUAAGGGCCCUGAGAGUUAUUAGGAGAUCCCUGACAGCUACAGUUCCCAGCUUGGUAUAACAGUCAAUCCUUUUGCACAGGGAACCCUGGGAGCUGAAGCUUUGGGAGGAGAAUGGAGAUAGUCUAAGAACUCUCACCACCUUUAGUAAAUUACAGUUCCCAGAAUUUUCUCCUUUUGGGAAGAAAAGUGCUAUCACAGUACUUUAAAUGUGUGGUGUGAAUGUGACCAAAGCAACUGGGAACAAUGCUACUCAUUAUUCCAUUCCUACAGCUGUGUCCUUGAUUUUCCUUCUUUAAGAAAAAUUACAGUGCGACACACAGCACAGCACCACAACAGACACAUCCCACCUACUCCAGAAGUUGAAGCUGCAACUACACAGGCAGAUAGACAGGACCUCUAGUAAUAACCCUUAGGCCUUUAAAUAAGCUGUUGACAUCUGUUUUCCCAGCAUGAAGAAGCUGACAAACAUUGGGAUUAAUAGUGUUUGCUGGUGUCUCUCUGCUAGGUCUAAGAAAACCACAACUAGCACAAGACCCUUCUUGAGAGAGAAGUACUUUGUUACUCAGCUAAGGCUGCUUCCCUUAAAGUUCAACCCUGGAAUGAAGAAGACUAUGAAGUAGUUCCAAAGUAGUUAACUUAUAAAAAGAUACAAAACCAAGGUAGUUUUCACAUCCUUAAAAGAAAUGAGGAAGGAUGUUGGAGGCAACAAACCAGCAGCUUUUGCUUCCUCAUCAAGUUGACUGUUGACCAGAAUGGAAAGGCAAAUACAUAGCAAAACCAGACUAUUAACUUUGUAGACAUAGUUAUCAGUGGUAUUUACAACACGAGGAUUUCUGUUUGUGGAGAAAUAUCACAUCUAAGGAAAUAUCAAACCGCAUAUCUGUGAGUUAUCAAGUAGUGAGUAUGUUAGCAAGGUCUCUCUGAACUCUAGUUGUUGAUCAGGUCUGUCUCCAAAUUUAUCCUGAUAAAUUUAGCAUUUUAAAACAUACUGAUUGCAUCAAACUCUCUUGACUACAUUUGCAAAAUCUUUUGGACUUGUUUUCUUUGGAUCUGCAGUGGCUAGUCUCUCAGAUAGUGAAAAAACACAUGUUUAAACCAGAAACUUACCUGCCAUUUGAAUGUUAACAAUGCACAACUGCAUCUGUGUCUUCAAGUCAGCAUAUCUACCCUCAUGGUAUUUUGUGAUACCUGCAGAAGCCAAUCCAUAAGUGAAACAUAGAGCAUGAGUCUGUACAUGGGCAUAGCCAGGAUUUUUCUUAGGGAGGGCAAGCCUUUUGUUAGGGGGGAAAGAACCUCAGUUUUCUAUAUAUUUUUAUUGAUUUUUAUUGAUGGGAGGGCAGCUGUCCCUCCCUGCCAGGACUGUAGGUGCUAGGGGUGCAGGGCAUCCAGGCACUGGGGUCUCAGGGGCACCAGGCCGAGAGUCUGGGGUCCGAGAGUUGAGUCCGGGGAAGAGCCCGCCUGUUGGUCAGAGCGCUGUGGUGAGCUCUUCUGCUGUGGGCGGCUGACCAAGCCAGCAAGACACUGAGGUGGCCAGCUGGCUCCACCCUCCUGCGUGCCUGGGACUGGGGAGGGCGGGGUGGAUCCUUACACCCAGGCACCACAUAUGCUUAAGACAGCCCUGCUCCCUGCCCCCCUGGCUAUGCCCAUGAGGCUUUAUGUGUUUAGUUUGAAAGUAAAUCCUAUAGCAUUCAAUAGAAUUUACCAACAAGUAGUUAUGUGAGGGACUCCAGCCUUCCAGCCUGGCCAUGUGCAGAAGUUCCACCCAGUUCAUUGGGGUUUGCUGCAAUGUUCUGUGCAUAGAAUAGAAGCCUUAGGCAUUCUCUCUUUCCUACUUAAUACAUUUUAGUUCAUUGUGGCAUUAUCCCAUAAAUAUAUUCCUCAGUGAAGAAAGAAGAUUGUAUUCCCGAAACAUCACAAAAAGGAAAAAAUAUAAUGAUUUUGAUCUAGCGCUCAAAGUUUUUCAAGAUGCAGAUAAAGAACUGAUGGUUAAACCUGCAGCUGUUUGGUAUUCAUAUUCAAAACGGGGCCCACGAUCAAUGGCAAAUGAAGUCAAGUAAUUGGACUUAUAUUGGGCAUCCAUGAGGUACUUCUGGGGUUUGCAUUGCCUGUGCGCUUUUCUUUGUGGCUCAGUCCUGCAACUUUCCUCUGCGUCAGGGACAGUAAAUAAUAGACAGGGGUGGGCUUGAGGAGCCUUUGCAAAUUGCAGCCUGGAUUCAGGUUCUGCAUCAGCACAGCAUUCCUGACGUACUGAGUGAAAAUGGGAAUAAAAUGCAUUGAAAUAUUUCAAGUCCAGUUUCAGAAGGAUGGAUGCAAUGAGCAUUUUCCUCCUCCAAAACCUUGACUCUAAAUGCAAAUAAUUGUAUGCACUUACACUGGUACCUCUGGUUACAAACACUUCUGGUUACGAAUGCUUCGGGUUACGAACCUGGAAGUAGCUGCUCCUGGUUGCCAGGAGACUCCAUUAGCGAAAGUGCGCCUCAGGAUAAGAACUGUUUCAGCUUAAGAACUGACCUCUGAAAUGAAUUAAGUUUGUAACCAGAGGUACCACUGUAAUUAGUUUCUUACAUUUAUAUGCCAACUUUCUUCUGUCAUGGGACCAUCCUAUCAAGGCACUGACCGGACCCAGAACUGCUUGGCUUCAGCAAGGUGGUGCCUUUAGACCACACCCUGGGAUGUCUGUUCUGUUGGCUAAAAAAACUCUGCUUCUCCCAGCCCACUGAGUCUGGGGAAAAGCUAGCCUGAGCUGCAACUAAGUGUGAUGAUGGAUGGCAUCAGGACCUGGUAUAUUGGGUUCCUUUGCCAGGGCCUAUGUGUCCUGGCAGGGCCUACUAGGAUUUUGCCUUGGCAUUCUGCCCCACUGCCUGCAAGCAGCUGUUGAGGCAGCAGCCACCAGCCUCUUCCUCUGGCUAACAAAGGAGCUUACCUGACGGCAGCACUGUAAGGAGCAGACACUUGGCUCCAAUCAGACCUGGCGGCCACCUUAUCUUCCACAGUGCUGUAAGAUGCAGCAGGCGUCACAUGGCUCCUGGCCCAUUGCAAUGCUGCUGCCCACAGGUAAGCAGCCAGAGUAAUGUAAGCGAUCCAGUGGAUGCAGCAGGGAGACAACGGGUGGGGGUGGGAGGGUGUCAACUGCCAGAAACCUGCCCUAGGCCUCCCAAACCUGGACCCAAUACAGUGGUACCUCGGGUUACAGACGCUUCAGGUUACAGACUCUGCUAUCCAUAAAAUAGUACCUCAGGUUAAGAACUUUGCUUCAGGAUGAGAACAGAAAUCGCACAGUGGCACAGUGGCAGUGGGAGGCCCCAUUAGCUAAAGUGGUACCUCAGGUUAAGAACAGUUUCAGGUUAAGAAUGGACCUCCAGAACGAAUUAAGUUCUUAACCCGAGGUACCACUGUAUAUGUUAACUUUAGCUCUUCCCCUCCUUAUUUUUUAAAGAUACAUUUAUUUAGUUUCUGAAAUGAUGAAAGGGGGCAGGGAGGGGAGAAAAGAAACUGCAUCAUUUUCUAGAAGUUAACCUGCUUGGCAGGGGAGACGGGAAAGGGUGCAGAUGUUCAGGAGAGGCCCCCUUGCACAGUCUGAGGUAUUUUUCUCCUCAUGUUUCAGGAUUUAGGUGCAGGCAUUGUUACAAAUUAAGCCUGGGGUGGAUGAGGAAAGAACAGGUAGAGAAGGUAGAAUUGUUCUUGUGAAGAGUUGCUGUAAGGAAAGCAAGGGGAAAACAAGAAACCAAUUUUGUUUAAAAAAUUUUAUGGUAAUGUCAUACAGUGAUAUGGAAAGGAAAGUACUCAUACACAUGCAUAUAAGAAAAUAAGGUGAAAAAGAAGUAAAUCAUUUAAUACAACAAGGAGCAUAUAAAUUCACAGUAGAGGGAGGGAAAUCCACAUUUUCAAGACUCAGUUGUUAGUACAGUUUUUCUAGUGAUUUAGAUAGUUCUGAACUUGUCAAGAGAGAAAAUCGUCCUAAAACAUCUUUCCAUAAUGAAGCAUGAGUCAGUGGUAAGCUCCAUCCAUGUUCCUUUUGGGCCAGAUGGGCUAUAAAAAAAUCCAUUUACAUAUAAUGUGUUUUUAUUUGUUGGGUCCUUUUUCUUUGUCUUAUUUGUUGGGUUAGUUUCUCCAUUAAGGUGACUGUCCAGAUUUGUUUAGUCCUUUCAAGUUGUUUUCAAUGUUUUGCUGCCGCCUUGGGCAGAGCCACAUCAUACAUACAAAGCCUAUCCAACUGGCAUUUAAAACACACAAGUUCCCCCCAAAGAAUCCUGGGAACUGUAGUUCCCCUUCAUAGAGCUUCAAUUCACAGCACCCUUAACAAACUACAACACAAACAUAUUGGGGCAAGGGAUGUAGCUUGGUGCUUGCAUGCCAAAAGUCCCAGAUUCCAUAUUGGAUGUCUGCAGGUAAGGCUGGGAGGACUGCUGCCUGAAACCCUGAAGAGCUGUUGCUGGUCUGUAUCAACUGCAUUGAGCCAGAUGGGCCAGUGGUCAGACUCAGGUAUCAGACGGCUUAAGGAUCAAAGCUUCUCACAAGGAAUCCAGG